rnacentral:lncRNA from 1 species
AAUUUAUUUGUUUGUUCAGGUAAAUUGUACAGUUUUAAAACAAUGUCUAGUUUUUAGAGUCUCAAAGCAGUAUUAGUAAAACUAUUUCUUUAGUUCUUAGAAGACUGCAGAACUAAGUGGUCUUUAAUGAUUCUUUGAGGUUAUUUUUAUUUGUUAUUUCAUUUUAUUACAUGUGUAAACAUUUUCAUAGAUUUUCAUUAUUUGACUGGAUUUAUAUUAGAGCAGUCUAGUGACCAAAUCCUGAAUAGCAAUUACUUAAAGAAGGCCAAAAAAUAACAUGAUCAAAAAUGGUUUGAUCAAAACUAUAAAAGUAAUUACAAAAGUAGGGAGAGAUAUGAAAUAUAAAUUUGUUACAGUUUAUGUAUGAGGGUUUGAUGGAAUGUAUAUUGAAACUGAUAAAUGAUAAUUUUGAAAGUGACUGAAAAUAAGAAUGACCUAGAUGAAAAGGCCAUUUGAAAGCAUUCAGUUUUUGAUUGCUUUCUUGUUGACAUUUACUGUUAAAAUCUAUUAAUUAUUUUUAAUCACAUUUUUACUAGUCAUUGAUUUUGCAAAAACAACAUAGUUCACUUUUAUUUUUAGAAGGUCUGAUUUGAUGAGGGACACAAAGCUGUAUCUUAUAAGAUUAGACUUUUAUAAAUGAAAUAUGAGACAAAUGUUUGGACUCAUAUUAAGUCGAUAGACCACUUUCGAGUUCAUCUGUCAACGGAAAAAACUCAUCAAUUAUAUGCGCCUUUGUGACAUCAUUUACCAGAUAGAGGGGCUCCCUUGUAUCCCUGCACUAUAAACAUUCAUCAAGCGUCUUAGUAAUCGUCGUUGUGCAGGAUUAACUAGAAAUAAAAUUUGUUCAGUAGGUACUUAAUCACAAUUCCCUAAAGACAGCGGUGCAGAUUGUUAAUUAUGAGAAUUUGAUUUGCCGAAUAAUUCUUGCAAAUAUAGCCUUAUAGUUUUUCAACCACAACAUUGAAACAGAAGUCGCGACGCACCUUAAUGCACGAGUGACGUUCACUAAAACCAAAGUUUUUGACGGAAAUGCAUCAAACUCGAAAGUUGUCUAUUCUGAAGCAAUAGUUUCCUGUUCAAACGUGGCUGCAAUAAUCUGUACAAUGUUUAAAAAAAAUGUAAUGAGUUAUAUGUGUAAUAUUAUUGAUCAAAUCUACUUUCUUUAGAAGUCAAUUUUUUUUUAAAGUAGCAUUAUAUUUAAAUCAAAAAUAUAUUACUACAUAUAGUAACAACAAUGUGGGAAUUGUUUCAGUACACACAUUUCUUAAUAACAUAGCUGUGUGAUAUGCUUAUUGGAAGUUAUUGUUGCAAGUCUUUAUUUUUUAUGAUUUCUUGUAGCUGAACGUUUUCAGUUACUUGCGGAAUGGUAACUUGGUUUUUCAUUCACACAAUAUUAUAAUGUUUUCUUUCUCAUUAGGGUAUUUCUCGAACCCUUUUCACAAUAUAUACCAUAAUGAUACAUUUUACUGAAUUAAUUGUAAAUACCAAUUUGAUUAUAAAUAGAGAAUGAUUAUUUUUAUAACCAACGUUUAAUAUUUUUUUAUUCUGAUAUUCAUUUUAACUAAGUUUUAUUCAAAUUAUUUUUGUAUGAUAAAACAUUUUGUGUUACAUAAUUUCUUUUACACUUGUUCAUUUUAACCACUGUAUCAUGUGUGAUAUAAGAAAUUUUAUGGUUCGAUGAUAUUUUGCAUUUAAUUUCUUUGUUAAUAUAUUUUGCUCUUAUUCUAAUAAUCUUUUCAUUGUGUAUUUUUAAACCUUUGUAUUUUAGAAACUCAUGAAAUAUGAGACUUACUGUAAUGCCUGAGUUACAUAUAGCGGACAAUUAAUUGUAAAUUUAGAAUGAAUUAGGAGUUCAAUAUUUUGUAGUUUAGAGACAGCAGUAUUGUAUUUGAAGAUUCACUGGUAUCAAAUUGUUGGUUAUUGAGUUUAAUUUGGAUUUUUAAAUACACAUCUGUAAUCUUAAGUCUAUCCAACUCAGAGAAAAACCCACUGCUUACUGGUAAUCAUCAUUUAAAAAUACAAUUAAAUAGCAUUUGUUUCUGUCUAUAGUUUCAGUCUGUCAACAGGUAAAUUGACUAUAUAAAUGACUAUUAGCUAACUCUUCAUAUAAAUCUAUCCUAUUGCAGUAACUGAAUUAAUCACUUGAGUAUCUUAAGGUAGGAGAGUGAACAGACUUUAUGAUCAAGUGUGAUUUUAAUGGUGCAGAUAAGGGAGAAGAUGAGCUUACAGAUGUAUAAAAUACUUUGAAUUAUCUACUUUUACUAAUUAAAUAUUAUCUGAAAACAUUUUUGCUGAUGGAUUACAAUUAUCUAUGAUGUAAAAAUUGAGUAGAAAGUCUUUGAAAGUACAGUAUUUGUCCGAAAACAAAUUUUCAGUGAAAGUUAUUCUUACUUAAUGUAGGAUGCAGAUGAUGUCAGAUAAUAUCGAGUCAAUUGACUGACAAUUUCUAUAAAAUAAUUUUACCUUUAGAAUAUGUUCAGGUGACAUGAAAUGUUUAAAAAGUAUUGAACAAAAUCUAAUGGUCAAUAUUAUAUUACUGUUGAUUCAUUCAUUUUCAUGAGUACCAAAUUUUGUGGAUUGAGAAAAACUUGCAUUUUCUUCGAUAUUUGAUUUUGUAGUUGUGCCUAAGUUUACACACAAGCCUAUUGACAAUUUGAAAUUUGUUGAUAUUUAAAUUUUUGGUUCACAUGUAUCCUUGAAAUCCAUGAACAAUGGUAUCCAAAGAAUAAUAAUGAAUCCAUAGCAGUAUGAAGUUCAAAAGUCAGUAGCUCCAUUAAUUAAGGUAAUUGAACCUAUUUUUUUCAUUAUUUGAAAUUGAUAAUAAUAAUGAUGACUUUGAUAUACACAUUUGUGUACUGUUAAGCCUCACAAGGUCCAAGUGAAAGUUUUGAAGUUGGCAGUCUACCAACAGAACUUUUUGUUUCACUUUAUUAAACAGCAACUCUGAUGUAAAAGAUGUGAGCUACCGAUUGUAACGAAUGCAAGUGUAUGUGAGCUACUGACUUGUGAAGAAUGCAGGUUAAUGCGAGUUACUGACUUGUAACAAUUGAACUUUAUGUGAGCUACUGAAUUGUUAAGAAUGCAAGUUUAUGAAAGCUACUGACUUGUUACGAAUACAAGUUUAUGUGAGCUACUAACUUGUAACAAAUGCAAGUUUAUGAAAGCUACUGACUUGUAAUGAAUGCAAGUUUAUGUAAGCUACUGACUUGUAAUGAUUGCAAGUUGAUGUGAGCUAUUGACUUGUAAAGAAUGCAAGUUUAUCUGCUACAGACUUGUAAGGAAUGCAAGUUUAACAAACAAAAGCAUAUGUUCUGUGAUGUUCUGUACAAUCUUGCUGAUAGAAAGUCAUGUAUAUAUAUGUUCUCACUAUAAUGAAUGAGACAUAUCAAUGACUACUUUUAUAUGAAUUAUACACUAUCGCAUGUAUUGAAAGAUAUUGAUGUACAAAUAGAGCAUAUAACAUGUUCAUAUGGCAUUGUUUGUUAAGAUUGAAUAAUAAAAAUUUAGUGAUAACAAUUUUAAGUAUGCAAGUUUGUAAGUUUAUAAACGAUUUUCAGUUCACUCAUUUUCAAUUUUUUCUACAAUACUUUAUAAGUUUUGAGGAGAGUGCCCCAAUAAUACAUCAAUAUUUAUCUUUUAAUGUGAAAAUAUGCACCUCAAAUCAACAUUUGGAAAAAUAAUUUAACUGUUCCAGAUAUUUAUUUUUCAAUUGAAUUCCAGAAAUUUUAUUUUUCUGCCAAAUAUAAGAUUAUAGCAGUUUUAUUUCAAAUAAAAGCAGUUAUUUUGACCCCACAUUUGUAAUUUAAAGAAAAAGUUUUGUAUAACAUUGUCUUUUUAGAAAUGGAUACUGUUACUUUACUACAAAUUUAGUUGUCUUUAAGAAUUUAAAAUUCACUGUUUCUGUAAUUUUCAGAUACAAUCAUACUACAGUAAAGCUUAUAAUGUACUGACAUAAAAAAUAAACCAAGCACAACCAUAUUUUUUUCCACAAUUUGUUUCUUAAUGAGUCUGUUAUGCUUUUCUUACAUCUAACAGUAAAAAUAUUUCUGAAGAUACUAUUUCUGAUAUUGUAUCUUAUCUUACGGUUGAUUUUUUGCAUUUUUAAAACAUUGCAUUUUAUGCAUUCAUGCUUAGUAAAUUUUAAGCAUCUAUUAUUUUAUGGACCAAAUUGUAACUAUUUUUAUGUUGCAUGAAAUUGUUUGUGGGACCAUUCCAAUGGACUGGUCUCUGUGAUUUUGUUGUUUUGUUUUUGUUUUAGUUUAGCUUGCGUGAAAAAUAAAAAUCUUGUCUCCAAA